UCAUCCCUCUGUUACCCCCUGGGGGUGAAAAACACCCGAUUAACCCCAAAACUGUUUUAAUUAUUUUUUCCUAAACUAUGAAAGUGACGAAUUUCAAAUUUCGUACAAAUAUUAAUAAGACUAAAAGCUAUGUGCUAAAAAAAUAUUAACCCCCUAACCAUUUAAAUUCUUGUAAAAAAAACAAAAAUGAAAAAAGAAUCAUCCUGUAUCUCAAGUUUGGCUCACGGUACACACACCAUUUUUUUUUUAAAUGUACCAAUUUAUAUUCUAUAUUAUAUAAAAGUUUCAUGGACCUACUCCAGAAGGAACAUUGCGAAAUUAAAAUAAACGUACUAUUUCGUAGCCACUAAUCAUUAUACUCGUAUCAUGCUUAAUACGCAACGUCUCGGACCCGAAACCAAGAUAAUUUUAAAAAACCGGCCAAGAGCAUGUCGGGCCACGCUCAGUGUAGGGUUCCGUAGUUACUCUUCCGUCACAAUAAGCUAAACUGGAGCUUUAAGUAUAGUAAAUUGUUAACCAAGGGAUGAAACGGUACCUUUCACGCGAGUUAAACAAAUAGGCAAAUUUGCAUAAUCAGUACCUAAUUAAAGUAUGUCUUUUUACUAUGAAGGGGAAACUUUUUGCGAUAACUCAAAAACAGCUAAACUGAUCAUGUCCGCUAUAGUUUUCAUUUAAUGUCUUUCUUAAGCUCUACUUCCACGAUUUUUUUCAUUUUUUUUUGGACCUAUGGUUCAAAAGUUAGAGGGGGGGACACAUUUUUUUUUCUUUCGGAGCGAUUAUCUCCGAAUAUAUUAACUUUAUCAAAAAAUGUUUGUUGAAGACCCCUAUUAGUUUUGAAAUACCUUUCCAACGAUACUCCACACUGUAGGAUUGAAGCAAAAAACAAAAAUUCACCCCCACUUUACGUAAAGGGGAGGUACCCUAAAAAAAAAAAAUUAGAUUUUAUUGUACGACUUUGUCGGCUUUAUUGAUUUACAUAUCCAUGCCAAAUUUCAGCUUUCUAGCACUAACGACCACGGAGCAAAGCCUCGGACAGACAGACAGACAGGCAGACGGACAUGGCGAAACUAUAAGGGUUCCUAGUUGACUACGGAACCCUAAAAAUGUUUUUAUAAAUACAAAUGAGUUUGAUUCAUACUUCUUUAUCCCCACCUUUUUCAAAUCGGGCACGAGCAGCGCCAGCGGUCCGAUCGCAAGCCAUUGUUUAUUAAUAAUGCAAGGCUCUUAGUGGGAGUUCAAUGAAUAGUACGCACCAAAGAGCCAAUACAUAUUAAUUUCGCAAUGUUCCUUCUGGAGUAGGUCCAUGAAACUUUUGUAUCAUGUAGAAUAUAAACUGGUUCAUUUUUGAAAAAAAAAAAUGGUGUGGUACCAUGAGCCAAACUUGAUAUACAGGUUGAUUCUUUUUUUAUUUUUGUUUUUUUUACAAGAGUUUAAAUGGUUAGGGGGUUAAUAUUUUUUUAGCACAUAGAUCAAUCAUAGAUCUUAUUAAUAUUUGUACAAAAUUUGAAAUUCGUCACUUUCAUAGUUUAGGAAAAAAUAAUUAAAACAGUUUUGGGGUUAGUCGGGUGUUUUUCACCCCCAGGGGGUAACAGAGGGAUGAAACUUUGUGCAGAGUAUAACCUCCCCAAAAGGAAUCGUUUGAUUACAGUUUCGGCCCAAAAUCGCUGGGGCAAUUUUUCCUAGGCUAUCCUGCUACAAUUGGAAAAUCAAUAUAUUUAAAUUUUUCAUUGCAAUAAUUUUCAUAUAAUGUCAAUUGUGCUGCGUCACGCUCUCCCCAAAUAAUCUUAUUACAUAAGUACUAUAUUACUUGUAAUAUUAUUAUUUCUAAUUAAAUUUAAAUUACAAACUAAUUCUAACGGAUGAUGGUCCGACCAGUACACGUCAUAAUGUAUUUUUAUACUCCGUAUUAGUUUCCGUGCCGCUUCAGAUACUACACAGUGAUCCAGCCAGCUUUUAGUACCAUUAAUAUCACUAACAUAGGUGUAUGUAUCCGAGGCCACUCCUAGAAUGUCUAUGUCCGCACAUUGCCAUCUAACAUCCGCACAAAAGUCUAACAAGUCCUUACCGAAUCGUCUGCCCGGGUGAGCGUUGAAAUCCCCUAAUAUGAAGACGCAGUCUACCUGGCACUCCUCCACUAUUGCCGCCAUUUCCCCUAGGCAUUCCGUAAAUUCGGUAAGAGUCUCCGCAGAAUCGACGGGCAUGUACACAGAGAACACCAAGAGCGAACGAUCCGAUAACACUAUCUUUACAGCAGCGAGUCGCGCACUUUUACAAUGCACAAUCGAAACCGAUGUAAAUAAACAUUUCCGCCACAAUAACGCCACACCGUGCACCGCCGUACGGCCUACCGCGUAAAAUCCCAGCUCCAGUAUCGACCGCCGAUGCUACACCCUUUCGUAAAAAUAUUGUCACCGAAAUUUAAAUGCGACUUUCCUCACUCCAGUGAGUGAGACAAGCUUUCGUCAUAAUGAUGAUGCCUUUCAUUCAUGAAUGUAAAUAAAUGUGGUUAACUUUACUUGAUGUUUAAUUUUAUUAACCUUUAAUAAUGAACUCACUACUGAGGUGAAAAGUUGCGUGUCACACGAGAGCAGUUAUUUUACAUCUCGUGUUUUUAACUCCCUCGCUACGCUCAAGAUUCUAACUUAGAAUCACUCGCUUCGUGAUGCAAUUAUAGAAUCUUUCGCUUACUCAAAAUCAACACUCGCAAGAAAAACCAACUUUCCUGUCUUGUUGCACAAAUAACUAUGUACAGUACAUAUGGUGCUACUUUACCGCACUAGUGCGAAAAUUAGCGUAUUACGUUACUGUGUCGAACAUUUAAAGGCCCAUAUGUACUGUAAAACGUUGUACGAUACAUGUGCAAAUAGGUAAUUCGCAACUCGUGCCGAUUUAAAACACUCCCUUCGGUCGUGUUUUAAUUUAUCGCCACUCGUUUCGAAUUUCCUAUUUUCGCACUAGUAUCGUAAUGUACUAUUACAGUACAUACGGUGCUACUAUAGUGUUACGCACUAGUGUGUAAAUUAGCACAUUAUGUAACUAAGUAUGUCGAAAAUUUAAAGGGUCAUAUGUACUGUAAAACGUUGUACGACACAUGUGCGAAUAGGUAAUUCGCAACUCUUGUCGAUUUAAAAGACUCCCUUCGGUCGUGUUUCAAUUUAUCGCCACUAAUGUAUCGUAAAUAACUAUUAUACAAUCGUGAUAUAAUAAAUAAAUAUUAUAGGACAUUAUUACACAAAUUGACUAAGUCCCACAGUAAGCUCAAUAAGGCUUGUGUUGAGGGUAAUUGGUUAGUCUUAUUUGCAGGCAAUAACGGACCAGCGUUGGACCAAAAAUGUUACGUCAUGGAAAGGGCCACUAGGGAAACGGGGUAUAGGAAAACCUGUUACUAGAUGGGAAGACGAAAUAAAAAAUAUAGCUGGUCAAAACUGGAUGCGAAUAGCUCAAGAUAGAGAUGAGUGGAAAACUCUGGAGGAGGCCUUCACCUGUGAAGACGGGGUUCUUGCUACAUAUUAAAAUUCAUUUUGAAAUAGUUUUAGAGCUGCCAUUGGGAAGCUAUAAGUAAUUAAGUUUGCUUAUAGUUUUUUGAUGUUGGUUCUAAAAUUAUUUUAACUUAACUCUAAACAACAAUGUUAAAAUGUUAAAAUUUCGCAAGAAAUAAAAGGCUAUUUUAUUUUAUUUAUUUAUUAUUUAUUUGCAGGUUCAUACAUUUGCCAUUUAAUGCAAGUAGCUAAUGUAUGAACUCGCAAUAAACACUAAUCAAUGUAUAAACAGACCCCAAUGUCAGCCUCACAUACCUGAAUGGGCUGUGUGCCACACUUUCCCAUGCUGACCUUACAUGAAGUUGAAUUGAACAUAGGUACAGUCAGCUGCAAAAAGUAUGUAUCGAAAGAAUUGUACUUGGUACUACACUCUUAUUACGCUGCGGGCUUAGCAUGGUCUUAGUUAUCACGCGAUAUGGUGACAAUCUUGUUGUUAAAAUGACAGUUUUCUUCGAUUUUAUCGUUCACACUACGGUUGCAGACGAUAAUAGGAGUUAUCCACAUUUGACAGCGAUAGAUGACAAUCGACAAUUUGCAUAACAUGGUCGUCGGAUAAUUUGACACAUUAUCCCAUUUUGGCAGUUCAAUAUAGUUAAUUUUAUCUACGUGCUUCUUAGGUCACGACAAGCGUUGUCGUGGAUGCAAAGCUCAUGAAAAAACCUAUGUUAAGGUAUAAAUUAUCACUCGCAACUGCUGCAGAGGAAAAAGAAAGAAGAAGGAUUCAGCGACGAUCUUUGAGGGACGCUGCAAACCCCUUUGAUAUGCCGGACGAAGAGUUCCGUCAUAUAUACAGAGUACGAAAGGAGUUAGUGUUAUAUAUUUGUGAAGAACUCAACGCCGACCUCCAGCCUCACAAGGGUGAUGGAUUGCCAUCUCACCUUAAGGUAAAGCUAUAAUAUUGCAGUGUUGCUCAUAUAGUACCAAAAGUUUGUAUGUUAAGAUACCGCACAAUCACACAAAAUUAGCUGAUACAAAUAUUUGGGUGAAAUUGUUGUUUAUAACAUAACAGAGGUGCUACAUUAUACCUUAAAAUUUAAAUAUUUCUUAAGCGAAAAAAUUUACUUAAAUAAUUAAGCUGUGUACAACUACUUAAAUAAGAUUCUAACAGCAUUACAUCUGCUGGCUGAUGGCAAUUAUCAACACGGGACUGGUCAGGAUCAUGGUUUAUCUAUUGGUCAGACGACUGUAAGCCACAGUAUCUCGAACAAUUUGUAGAACAGAAGGUAUGUUCAUUGGACCACUGAACUACUAGGCAUCAAAAACUGUGAGAGUAUACUAGGGCUAUCUUAGUAGUUUUUACUUUUUUGAAUAAGCAUCAGUGUUGAUGUAUUGUGUAAUGAGAUAGGUAUUGUUUGAUAGUUAUGUUCAGGUAGUUAGUUACAUUGGAUACAUAAUCUGGAAUUGCAAUACUAGCUAGGUUUGACUAAGGUUAAGUUCUAAAACGUGCCAUCUAAAAUAUGCUCCUUUUUACAGACUUAAAGACCAAUGGAUAAUAGUUUUUCCUGGAACUGAUCGGUCCCGACGAUCAGUUGCCUCAGGAUUUGAGGAUGCAUAUGGUCUGCCAAAUAUCUUGGGUGCAGUAGACUGCACUCAAGUGAAAAUAUUUCCCACCUGUGCCACACGGAGUGCAAUAUCUGAAUCGGAAAGGCGUUCACGCUCUUAAUGUACAGCUAAUUGCAGAUGUCAACUGUAAGAUCUUGGCAGUAAACACGAGGUUUCCUGGCCGUGUGCACGACUCUUUCAUAUUUAACAAUUCGUCCAUUUAGGAUGAAUUAAGAAGAUUGUACAAUGGCCACAUUGGGGAGUAUUUCCUUCUGGGUAAGCAGAAAAUUGUGUAUCUGUACCUAGUGUAAAUUUAUUCGAUGGGGAGACGUGACGUACGCGUUUGCGUUAACUGUCAUUUUGUAUGGAAUUUUGAGUUUCCAAAACAUCCCGCUUGGCGCGCUGUUUCUAAAUCCCUUAGCACCACUUGCACCAUUUCACUAACUCGGGGUUAACUGGUUAACCCUGGAGUUACCAUGUUACCAGUACAAUUUCACAUUGGGUUAACGGUUUAACCGGUUAACCCCGGGUUAUUGGAAUGGGGCAAGUGCAUGUUAGUAAAUGUACUAAGAUCACGACCACAGAAUAAAUAGUUCAUGACUAAGUUAAUAUACCUAUCAUAAUGUAAAUAACCGGCCAAGAGCAUGUCGGGCCACGCUCAGUGUAGGGUUCCGUAGUUACUCUUCCGUCACAAUAAGCUUAACUGGAGCUUAAAGUGUAGUAAAUGGUACCUUUCACCCGAGUUAAACAAAUAGGCAAAUUUGCAUAAUCAGUACCUAAUUAAAGAAGUCUUUUUACUAUGAAGGGAAAACUUUUUGCGAUAACUCAAAAACAGCUAAACUGAUCAUGUCCGCUAUAGUUUUCAUUUAAUGUCUUUCUUAAGCUCUACUUCCACGAUUUUUUUCAUAUUUUUUGGACCUAUGGUUCAAAAGUUAGAGGGGGGGGACACAUUUUUUUUUCUUUCGGAGCGAUUAUCUCCGAAUAUAUUCACUUUAUCAAAAAAUGUUUCUUGAAAACCCCUAUUAGUUUUGAAAGACCUUUCCAACGAUACCCCACACUUUAGGGUUGAAGCGAAAAAAAAAAUUCACCCCCACUUUACGUGUAGGGG